rnacentral:rRNA from 1 species
GACGAACGCUGGCGGCGUGCUUAACACAUGCAAGUCGAACGGAAAGGCCCUGCUUUUUUGGGGUGCUCGAGUGGCGAACGGGUGAGUAACACGUGAGUAACCUGCCCUUGACUUUGGGAUAACUUCCGGAAACUGGGGCUAAUUCCUGAUAGGUGCUCCUUCUGCAUGGUGUGGGUUGGAAAGUUUCGGCGGCUGGGGCUGGACUCGCGGCUUAUCAGCUUGUUGGUGGGGUAGUGGCUUACCAAGGCUUUGACGGGUAGCCGGCCUGAGAGGGUGACCGGGCACAGUGGGACUGAGAUACGGCCAAGACGCAUACGGGAGGAAGCAGUGGGGAAUAUUGCACAAUGGGCGGAAGCAUGAAGCAGCAACUCCGCGUGCGGGAGGACGGCCUUCGGGGUGGAAACCGCUUUCGCCGGUGACGAAGCGGGAGUGACGGUAAUGGGUAAAGAAGCACCGGCUAACUACGUG